UACGUAGGAUCCGAGCGUUGUCCGGAUUUACUGGGUGUAAAGGGUGCGCAGGCGGGCUGGUGAGUCUGGGGUGAAAUCUCGCCGCUUAACGGCGAAACUGCCUUAGAUACUAUCAGUCUUGAAUCAGCGAGAGGUUCGUGGAAUUCCGAGUGUAGCAGUGAAAUGUGUAGAUAUUCGGAAGAACACCAGUGGCGAAGGCAGCGGACUGGCGCUCGAUUGACGCUCAGGCACGAAAGCAUGGGGAU
rnacentral:rRNA from 1 species